AUUGAACGCUGGCGGCAGGCCUAACACAUGCAAGUCGAACGAGUGGCGGACGGGUGAGUAAUGUCUGGGAAACUGCCCGAUGGAGGGGGAUAACUACUGGAAACGGUAGCUAAUACCGCAUACCAUCGGAUGUGCCCAGAUGGGAUUAGCUUGUGUGUGGGGUAAAGGCUCACCUAGGCGACGCUCCCUCGCUGGUCUGAGAGGAUGACCAGGCACACUGGAAGGGGGACACGGUCCAGACUCCUACGGGAGGCAGCAGUGGGGAAUAUUGCCGAAUGGGCGCAAGCCUGGUUCAGCCAUGCCGGGUGUAUUAAGAAGGCCUUCGGGUUGUAAAGUACGUGCAGCGGGGAGGCGUUACCCGCAGAAGAAGCACCGGCUAACUCCGUGCCAGCCGCCGCGGUAAUAC
rnacentral:rRNA from 1 species